rnacentral:rRNA from 1 species
GACGAACGCUGGCGGCGUGCUUAACACAUGCAAGUCGAACGGAAAGGCCCUGCUUUUGUGGUGUGCUCGAGUGGCGAACGGGUGAGUAACACGUGAGUAACCUGCCCUUGACUUUGGGAUAACUUCAGGUAACUGGGGCUAAUACCGGAUAGGAUCUCCUGCUGCAUGGUGGGGGUUGGAAAGUUUCGGCGGUUGGGGAUGGACUCGCGGCUUAUCAGCUUGUUGGUGGGGUAGUGGCUUACCCAGGCUUUGACGGGUAGCCGGCCUGAGAGGGUGACCGGCCACAUGGGGACUGAGAUACGGCCCAGACUCCUACGGGAGGCAGCAGGGGGGAAUAUUGCACAAUGGGCGGAAGCCUGAUGCAGCAACGCCGCGGGCGGGAUGACGGCCUUCGGGUUGUAAACCGCUUUCGCCUGUGACGAAGCGUGAGUGACGGUAAUGGGUAAAGAAGCACCGGCUAACUACGUG